rnacentral:tRNA from 1 species
GGGCCCAUAGCUCAGUUGGUCAGAGCAGCGGACUCAUAAUCCGUUGGUCCCAGGUUCGAGUCCUGGUGGGCCCACCU